CCUGGACUAGGUAUUUCUUAUUUUUUUUACUUAUGCCUACGUUUCAAUAAACUAUUAGCAAUGUAUAGCGCGCACUAACUUAUGCUAGAAAGACAAUACUGUCCAAUGGGAUAUCGUCAACGCGUGCUAGGCUCUGCCCACACGGCUUCACUAGCCUUCAUUAGGAAAGGAAAGCUAGCUGAUUUGUAUACACCCAACAAAAAACUACGUUUGGAAAGUGGACUGGAGAAACGGACACCUGACUGGCCUGGGCGCAGGUGUGAUCUGAACACAGCAAAAGGCAAAACUCAGGUCUUUCCAAUAGUAAACCAAACCUGGAGAUAACUAAUUUGUUGAAGAUUGGUUAGGAACUCAGGCACUCGUAACAGUAAAGGAAACGUAGCGGUGGGUUAUUGUCCAGUACUGAGUUAAUGUUGUUGCAGCUAUGUCAGAAGCUAUCGUCAGCUUCCAGUACCAGCUCAGUGGAGUUAUGGAAACGGUACUUAAAACUGCUGUGCACGAGAUCACUCGGUUGGUGGAGAAUGGCUUCUUGAAGGAAGUAACACGUAGCAAGCAGGAAGAGGACGUCUUGAGGAAGAAGCUGCAGCAGUGGGAACAGAGAUGGAGGGACCAAGAGGAAGAGAGGAGGGGGACGUGUGUGAGAUGUGGAUGUGCGGCAGAGACUACAAAGAAAGUAGAUGGUUUACCCGGAGCUGUGAAUGGUUAUGGUAUCAAACAGGAGGACAUUGUGCAGUCUGAGACACUCAGGUCUGUGCGGGAGGUGCACGUCCAGAAGGUGCACGUCAAAGAGGAGGAUGAUGCACAGGGAGGCUGGGGGGACAUGUUAGCCCUGACAACCCCAUACACAGACACCGCUCAUAGUGAGCCUGACUUGUCAUCACUGUGGACCAGUGAACCUCUACAUCUACCACCUCCCCCAGCACCAUGGACCACUGAGCAGCAGAUUUUACCACCAGCGCCAUGGACCACUGAGCACCAGCCUCUACCCCCAGGGUCGGUGAUACCAGCCCAGGGGACAGAGAGCGCUGUGGGGCCACCAGAGUCUGUGUGUCACCUGAGAAUCCAAAUGAAUCGGGCCUAUCACACUGGAGAGAGGCCUUACCACUGCACAGAUUGUGGGAAAAGAUUUAACGCUAGAACAGACCUGAAAAGACAUGAACGAAUCCAUGCAAGGGACAUCUCCAAGGCAAGACCGAACAAUGGUAUCCGAGCUAAUAAAGAAUAUUCUGCACCAGAUCAUGCUACAAAAAAAACCGGAAGGCUUAUUCCACUAGAAUUAUUAGCAUCUGUGAGACAGGGCUAUACACAGCUUGGGGAGGACCUAAGAUGGCGACUUGGCCCCAAUGACUGCUUCAAGUCUCCGCACAAUGAAGAGGUGACAAAAUCAGUAAUGCAGAUAGUAAAUGAUGGAGGCCAAUACUGGGGUCCUGACAGUCUCAUCAGAAAGGCGUGUAAUAGGGUGUAUGAGUACUGGAAAGCUCAAGGGAAGAUUGAGAUGGAGGGCAACGUGGAGCUGAUCAAGAAGAGGAAAAUCCUUACCAGCAGGAGGAACAGGCUCUUCCAGAAGAGAGUGAAGGUGGGAGGGAAGUUCCUCACCCCGGAAGACCUAGACUUCCUAGUUGGAGCUGACCCCAACUUCAUGUCUGACGAGGAGAGUGACGUGGAAGAUGACGGCCUCUAUCAAGUGCUCCCUCCCAGGUGGCGCUGCAUGAGGCUGACCCGUAUCGUCAGGCUCUGCCAGAAAGCCCUGGAUGAGAAUCGCCUUGUGGGCGUUGAGCCGAAGUCGACUCGCUCAAGGAAAUUACAGUGGGGUAGAUUUACCUCUCGCCAUCCACCAAAAGGACAGUCUAAACAAGUCUAUGUGAAUAAAAAUAAAGAAUAAGCUUCACUGUAAUUGGUUAUUACUUAAUAAAAUAGUUGCUCAACAAUUGACUGUUAAACAGAUGUCAGAACAUGAAUAGGGAGAAGACAUGACUCUCUCAUCUCUGUUUGCUAUUACAAGGGAAGAGGCUCUAGAUAGAAGUUGCCUUUAACCAGUGAUAUAGGAUCAUCUCGACCUAACCCUGUCCUCACCAGUGAUUCUAGAAAGUGUAGAGGGCAAAUGUUUCAGUUUGUACAGUGAGAUGUUGGGUUGUGGUUGGAAUCUGACACUGGCUUAAAAAUACCUGUUUAUG
ensembl:lncRNA